UACGGAGGGUGCGAGCGUUGUCCGGAAUCAUUGGGCGUAAAGAGCGUGUAGGCGGCCACUUAAGUCCUGCGUGAAAUCUUGCGGCUCAACCGCAAGCGGUCGUGGGAAACUGGGUGGCUAGAGUGCGGGAGAGGAGAGUGGAAUUCCUGGUGUAGCGGUGGAAUGCGCAGAUAUCAGGAGGAACACCAAUGGCGAAGGCAGAUCUCUGGGCCGUAACUGACGCUGAGGAGCGAAAGCAUGGGGAGCGAACAGG
rnacentral:rRNA from 1 species